GAGUUAGAAAAAGAUAAUUAAGCAUUAUAUAUUUAAGCUCAAUGAUUAAACAAAAUUAAAUAAAUAAUAGGAAAAUUAAUAAAUAAUAAUGCAUGAAAAAACUUGAUAUAUAUAUUAUAUAAAAGUAAGUUAUACUAGGAAUACUGAAAAAUGAUAUGAAAAUAUAUAAAUAGGAAUUUGAAACUGUGACAGCCCCAGAAUCCGGGGGUCUGGAUUCUGACGUCACCACACAAAAACCAUUUUAAAACCACUUUGAAAGCCUGUAAAAAUUUAUUUUUUUUUUUUUCAAAAGAUAAUAAAAUCAGAGAAUUUAAAACUUGAAAACAUUUAAUAAAAGAUUUGAAAGACGUUAACUAAAAGAUUUAAAAGAGAACAUCUUUACCCCCAAAACAACAGGAUCGCUUCCAGGUUACAGUAUUGAAAUUAGAAUCUACCACUAUUAUUACACAACAUCUCUUACCAAAUCAGAUCAUCCUCAAUAAGAAGAAUCACUGUCAACUAUUCCAGCUUGCACCAACCUCAUCAACUUUCCUGAACACUCCUCGACCACUGGAUCCUCAACUCUGUCUCCUCGCCUAGCAUUAGCCUUAUUCACAAUCUCAAUCAAUCAUCUCAUCUUUAAGCCUUUCUGAAAUGGUUAGAAAGGAAAAGCAAGGGUGAGCAACAAUGCUCAGCAAGUAAUAAUAAAUAAUGAUAGUUCUGAAAUGAUAUAAUAGGAGUUCACGAGUUCAAGAUAUAAAAGAUUCAACCUGAAUUCACAAAUUCAGGUAUUGUGUAAAAGAAUCACAAUACUUUGCAGCAAUGGAAACCUGAGGAAUUCAAUCCUUCAUAAGAGAAUUAUUGAAUUGGACUAUCAUAUUUAAUUAAAAACCAAGGUCAGGAUGCUGAUCAGUCAUACCUAACCCCGAGCAGGCCCCGCCAUGCUCUAUCACAGGAUCCAAGGCACUCAUUGGCCUAGCAUGACCACGAAUCUGGUCUGACCACUAAUUUGGUCCACAUAAUUUUUUUUUUUAAAAACAAUAAUCCAAUUCCAUAAUUCAAUUCAAGAAGCCAAUGUAAGUUAACAGAACAUAAUCAUAAUCAUCAUCAACCACUGAAUAAUUCCAAAUCAAACUUUGAUAAUAACUUUCCAUAAGUCACAGUCCAUCCUUCCAUAAAUCAUAGUUCAGGAAAUCCCUAACUAUUCAAUAUCCUCCAUUAUCGGCUAUUCAACUGAGUUUAGCCUGCUAAACCAGCAUGACAAUGGCGGUUUGAAUAAUCAAGAAGAUCCCAAUUCAUUCAAAGCUCUAACUAUCACUGAGCAACACAUGCUUCAAUGACAAUCUGAACUUCGAAUUAAUUUGUAAAACGGAAAUUAUCUGAAUUUUCGAGGAUUAGAAAAGGAUGGAUAAGAAUAUUUGCAUUUGCCAAAUAUGAAAAAGAAAGGAACGAAUAUUUGCAACACAUUCGAAAAGAAUGGAUCAGAAUAAUCGCAAGAUAUCCAAAAGAAGGGUAUAGGAUACUUGCCUUAAACCUGACUCCAGUCUCACAGCUCAUUCUCAUCUUUCCACUUUCACAAUCUCAUACUUUAUGCAUAUCAUAGUCUCUAGGCCAUCUCUGGCUAUACUCUAUCUACCGUACAUCUUCGCUUCGCUUACUUGAUUCAUCCCUUAUUCGCUUUGUAACACCACGUGACUUUCUGAACGUCUUCGGGCAUACACGUCUCGUCCAAAUCCUUAACGAGAAUAAGAUAAUACUAUAGUCACUAAUCAAUUUAUCGCAUGUACAUAUCACGUAUAUCGAUACCCACUUAUAUACCCCUUUAAACCUAUCACAUAUCACUUAGCACAUAGUCAUUCUUUGACUUUAUCAUAUAGUCAAGUCAUAUUCCACAUAACAUAUCACAAAUCAAUUAUCAUAUAAAUCCUAUCGAUAAUUUGGCAGCGUCUCGUCUAUUUGUAAGACUAUCCACAUGUCAACUUAUUCUCAAUCAACAACCAAUCAACCAAUUCCACUUCCUAUACUCCAUAUGUUCUUAUAUCAUAUCAGUCAAGUCAUGACACUAUGUCAUUCAAAUCAUUUAUCAUGUAUAUAAUAUCAAGAAUAAGCAUAUAUAUCACGUACUCAUCAAUUAAUAGCAAUCAAAUAACAUAUAAUCACAUUCGGCACAUUUCACAACAAUUAUUCACAUUCUCGACUCCAUCAUAUUAUUAUGUCAUAUCAAACUAGACUUUAUAAGCUUUCCAUGUCAUAUUGAAAUAGGCUUCACGAGCUUCUAUCUCUCUUUCGUUUCACUUGAUUCCGACUUACGGAUCAAAAGUUAUGACCAAAACCGUUUUCUAACUCCUCUAUCGGCACAUAACACAUCAAACUGAUAGCAGACAACACAUUACACAUAAGGUUUCUCAUCCCACUUGAUCUUAAAUCAAGUCUUGGGUUAAAAAUGAUUUUUCGGGAAUUUUCCAGAAUUUUUAAACAUUUUUCGGAAUUAAAAUCGAUAAAAGAAUCACUUUUCAAAUAAAUAAUCAAGUCCCAAAUACUUGAAAUUGGACUUGAAAUCAUUCCUAAACAAUUGUCGAGCCUUGAACAUAAUUUAGAAAAAUAUUUCAAAGCUCUAAACUAUUUUUCGGAAUUUUUAAAUCAAAAAGGAUAAUUAAAUCCAAUUAAUUAAUCAAUUAAAAUCCUAAACAAUUAUUAAUCAAUUAAAAUCAAUUAAUAAUUAAUUAAAUUAAUUAAUCAAUUAAUAUUUAAAUUAAUUGACCAAUUAAAUAAUUAAUUACUAAUUAAAAUUAAUUAAUAAAUCAAUUUAGAUUUAUUUUUGAAUAAACAAAUAAUUAAAAACUAUUUUUGAAAUUUAAAAUAAUUAAAUAAAACAAUUUUAGAAAAUUAAAUCAAAAGGUUUAUUUUGUAAACUUUUGAAAGUUUUUGGCCAAGGUUUAAAGUGUAACUUUCCAAAAGUUCCAGGGGCUAAAACGUCAAAAUUGAAACCAUAGUACUGAGACUUCACCACCUUCACAAGUCUGGGUACCAAACGGCAAUUUGCCACCGCCGGUACCCGACUUCGCCGGAAAGCCACCGGAAAAUGGCAUAACAGCCCCGAACUCCCUCAAAACGUGCAGAUCACACCUCCUAGUUAGCAGAAAUCAUUUCACAACCUCAACUCAACCCAUUCAUCGUUUAUUCAGCCGGAUUUUUGUCCGGAAAACAACCGCCGUCGAGUUCAUUACGAACUCCGGCGAACCCGACCCACGAAUCACACAUACAAUUUGAACACUGAAAUCGAUUCCUUGCAACCCAUAGAACAUGCCAGUAACCUUCAAUUCUUCCCAGAAUUAACGGAUUAAAAACCCCUAAUUUUCAAUUAAGAACAUUCAUAAUCCUUCAAGAACACUACUCAAUAAUCAAACCAACUUUUCUAUAUGUUAUGGAAGUCAAAAUUCAACAUAUAAUAUACCAAAACGACGAGAAAAACACGUUCUACAACAUGGAAUCAUCAAAACAAUCAAACAACCACGUUUGCAAAAAUUCACUAUUUAAAUCAUAUUAACUCGAAUUUUAAAACCCCAAUUCCUCCCUACCUGUGAAUCUCAGGUUGUUUUUGAUUGCAGAUAUAGGUUCUACUCUUCGAUAUCUUCGAUUUGACUAUUCGCACGCUUGAUUCUGACUCCAAUAACACCUUCAAAUCUUCGUUUGAUUAUGAAGAACACGAAGAACACCGCUCGGUUUCUCUCGAUAUUCGUGCAGAGAAACUGGUGAAAUGAUUUUACGGGUGAAAAUAAGCUCUAGAAAGGUAUAUUUAUAUUUACAAAUAAUUGGUACCCCUUUGGAUCGUUUAUGACAUGAAAAUACGUAUUUAAUAGCUUUAUAUUAAGAAAGUGGGGUCCAAUCGGUACUAGUUUUCAAGAUAAUCAUCAAAACGGGGCUUUUUAACUCAAUUAUUGGUCUGCGGGUCCCACUGCAAUUAUUACAUGAUAAGGAUGAUGAAAAUAUCUCAGUUCACGUUUAUCGAGACAAACUGGAUAAUUAUCGACAAUUUUAGUACCCGAAAAACUCCGCCGGACCGACUCCAGGGAAAACCGUACUCCGGAUCGAAAAAGUCAAAACACGAAAAGUGUCCGGAAUAUUCAAAUUAGGCUAAAGGUGAGUUUUGUUGAAACUUCCGGGAAGAAAAUUUGCCACCUCGUUACGAGUGAACGGUUUUACGGAAGUCAAAUAAUUAAUAAAUAAUUAUAAAUUUACACAAUUAAAUCCGUAAAUCGAUUAUAAAAUCAUCUAACAUUCCAUAAAUCAAUAUAAAAAUAUCCAAAUAAACUAUAUUUUCUCCUGAGCAUAUAGA
rnacentral:lncRNA from 1 species